AUACGUAGGUGACAAGCGUUAUCCGGAUUUACUGGGCGUAAAGGGCGUGUAGGCGGUCUUGCAAGUCAGAAGUGAAAUUCCUGAGCUCAACUCGGGCGCUGCUUCUGAAACUGCAGGACUUGAGUGCUGGAGGGGAUAGCGGAAUUCCUAGUGGAGCGGUAAAAUGCGCAGAUAUUAGGAAGAACACCGGUGGCGAAGGCGGCUAUCUGGACAGUAACGGAAGCUGAGGCGCGAAAGCGUGGGGAGCAAACAGGAUUAGAUCCCCUGGUAGUCCACGCCGUAAACGAUGAAUACUAGGUGUAGGGGGUAUCGACUCCCUCUGUGCCGCAGUUAACACAAUAAGUAUUCCGCCUGGGGAGUACGGCCGCAAGGUUGAAACUCAAAUGAAUUGACGGGG
rnacentral:rRNA from 1 species